rnacentral:tRNA from 1 species
GGAGAGAUGGUCGAGUGGUUUAAGGCAGCGGUCUUGAAAACCGCCGCGGGAGCAAUCCCGCCGAGGGUUCGAAUCCCUCUCUCUCCGCCA